ACAGCUGGGCAACAGACAAUGUUAAUACUCCCUUCGUCCAACAAAGAAUGUCUCAACUUUGAUUAAAUUUGAACGUUUUUGCUAGUGCACAGGCGCCUGCUUUUUUGUGCAAAGGAGGCGAUUUCUGGACCGUGCGAUCCUUCUCUAAGAUUGGUGAAAUUCUGGCUCGAUGACCCCGCCCCAACCACUCCUGCUGCCCCUGCUACCGCCGCCGCGGGAUCGUUGUUGCUGCCGCCGCCUAUGCUGCGCCAUCCCCUUCCCUCCUUCUGUGCCAUGCCGCACUACAGCGCUGCCGCAGGCUCGUUGCCGCCUCUGCUACCACAUCCCCUGUCCCUGCUGUUGUGCUGCGCCCUCGCGCUCGCCGCCGGCGCCGCCCCUGCUGCGCCGUCUCCACCCAGCCCACCCCUGUUCUUUCUCUCCAGACGAUGAGGGUGAGGUGGGGGGUGGUCGAGGGCAGAGGCAAUUUUUCCCCUCUCUGGCGAAGGCUGCGGUUCUUCUAUUUCCCGUCCAAGGAGAGGUCAGGGAGUUCGUCGAAGGUGGCAGCUCCCGUCCUCGUUGAAUACGUAUGGAGCGGUCACGCAGCUGAUCUUUUGCUAGCUUUUAUCACCAGGUGUGUGGGGGACUGAUGUGGUGAGGUGUUGGCUGCAAAAGCUGAUGUUCGUUUUCUCUUCGAAUCACCUGUCAUUUGGUUCAUGGCGGAGAAUGCUCGGCCUGGUCUAGUGAGUUUUUGCGUUGCUUGUACCCUUGUUCGAUGUAUCGGCCUCGUCGAUUUUGAAGCGGAUGUGUUGAUUGAUGUCAUGAACUAUAGCUUGUGUUGGCUGUAGAUGUCAAGGGCUGUGAUGCACCCGGCUAGAUGGAUUUGUACACUUAUUCAACUCGUUUGAGGGGCCAAAUUGUGUCUUGUCAUGCUGAUAGAUUCAGAUUUGUUGCUGCUUCUAAUGGAUGAUUGGUGCAGAUAUGAUUCGUGUUGGUUUUGGUCGUGGUAGGGGUGGGUGGCGGGGGUUAUAGUGUAUUCUGAGUUUUCAUAUUCAGAUUUCUUAGUGGACAUUUGAUUUUUGUGUCCGUUGUGUUCAUGAUAUGUUGUGGAUCUUUUACUGUACUUGCAAUGGUUUUUGGGCAGUGUUCAUUUGUUCCCUUAUGUCCUCUGAAACCAUUUAGGGGGUAGUGGAUCUGUCUCUGUACCACCAUUUAGUUGCCCGAGCUGUUCAUUUUUUCUUGAAAAUGCUUUUAGGUAGUGCCAAUCAGGAAAUGCUCAUUUUGUUAUAUCCGAGGUGAUUUAGCUCCUGUUGUUGGUUUAUAUGGGGGUUUAGUGCUUUAAUUUUUUUCCCUUUAAUGCUUGUUAUCAGGGAUGACUGACUUUUUGCUUGUGCUUGAUUAUUCUAUCAUCUAUGUGUUUAUUAUUCUUUUUCCCCUUUCUGUAGAUUGACUUGUCUAGGCCUCUAAGGGCCUGCUCGUUUGCCACAAACCCUGCAGGGAUUAGGAGUGUUUAAAGGGAAAUUGAGCUAAAUCUGCACCGUUCCCUGCCAUCCGCACCGGGAAGGGGAUAAACGAACUAGCCCUAAGGGGGCAGGUUCCCAACUGAACAGAAUCAUCAUCUUUUAGCACUUAUGUUAUCUGUCCAGAUAAUUUUGAAAAUUAGCUUGAUCCAUGUUUGCUCUAAACAAUAUCUGAAUUUUGUAAGGACAAUGAACAUAUGAAUGGCUCUGAAUGUCAAUUCUGCGCUGUCCAUGAAUUUUAGUGGCGGUAUAUUGCAAUACCAAUAUCAUCAGCUGCUAUCCGUAUCUUAAGAUCUCUUUUCCUUGCUUUUAAUAUCAAGUCAUGACUUCCAUUUCCAGAUUGCAAGGCCUUUGGCCAUUAAUUGCACCAACUUUUUUAAUGCAAUCGCAGACAUACCCAGCUGCAAUUGUUAAUUAAAUAUUUUUUUUACUUGCUUCUCCAGUUCUCCUAAGGGGUCCUUGUUGCAUUGUCCUACCUAUCUCUUUUGCAUUUUCUUUGGGUUACGAUGGUGAUUGCUGCUUCACUUGCUAGCCUUUUUUUCCAUUGGAUUUUUCUUUUGCUUUUGCUUGGUUUUGGAGAAGCAAAGAUAACAGAGUCCAGGUGGUUAUCGAUCUGUACUUGUCGGUGGCAAACUCUAGCUGACUGUCCAUUGAGUUGUUCAUUUCCUCUUUUUUUCUUUGGUAAAUAAUUCUACUUGUUCGCUUAUUCGAGCUUUAUUUUUUGUAUCAAUGAUUUUUGCUUCCUGCUGUGGGCUGGACGCUGCAAGGCGAAGGCUGCAGAAGCGAGGCUUCCCAUCUCUUGCUCUGUUGUGGCCCAAUCUGUUGUCUCAUAUGGUGAGUGCUUCAUUUUCUUUGACACUGCAGUAAUGGCAGUUCUAGCUUGAGUCAUGCUUCUCCAGCUAUGCUUUUAUGUUUGUGCCAUGUGGGAGUAUGGGUCAUAUCUGCUAGUUGUUGUAUGGGAUGUACUUAAGCUAAAGGAUCCAACGUCAUAAUUAUCUAUGGUCAGUGAUGCUUUCUCAUUUUUCUGUACAAUGGCAUGCAAGCAAGACAAAUAGGAAUUACAAUGUAUUUUUGAAAGCAAAUAACAGGGAUAUAAUCCUUGUUUGAUAAGCAUCAUCGUCAUAAGAGACAUAAUAUAUUACUAUACAAACCAUAGAAUAAAAUUUAGCUAGUGCUCUGUUCUGAAUCCAUCUACUUUGCAAUUAUUACAUUUUUGUAUUGUAAUAUGUCCGAACUUUGGUACUGCUCCUCCGACUUGAAACUUGUCUUAUCUUAUCUUACGUUGUGAGCUUAAAGUCGUACUAGCUACUUAUAUAUAUUCAAUUGCAUUGCAAUCAUGCUUUCUACUUGAUCGCACAAAUUUAAUAGUGCAAUCGCAGCAUUGGUGGUUUGCAAUUGCACUCAUUUUCUUGUCACCUCCUGCUAGGUUAUUAAUUUGUCUUUUUGUUCUAGACUUCUUUAAUUUGGUUGGAGUGGCCAGUACGAGAGGCUUGAUCAUGUUCAAAAUGUGUUAUAUAGUGAAACAGAAUGUGGUUUUGGGUUCUAUUCUCACUGGCUGGAUUUAGCAUGAUCGGUAGUAGCAAAUUUAAAUGGUUCUAUGUGGUUUUCAAUUUCCAUCUUUUUUAUGUGCCCUUUCUGCAUUUAAAUUUGCAUUUUUGUAAACAUCGCAAUCACUACACGAGUUUGUUGCAAUUGCCGUUGUUUACCCAAUGUUUUGCACAAGGUCAUUUCAGAUUCAGUAACUUCUUUUCUACCCUUGUAACCAAAGAUUCUCACUAUGAAUUGUACUUUUCUUUACAGCGCAAUCUAGAUUAUAAAUAGGUGCAAUUGCAGUUUCUGAAUUAUCAAAUUCAAAUUCCAAAUGCAUUGCAGUUAUUUCCAUUUAAAUAUGAAUUGCACUUUUCUUUACAGUGCAAUCUAGAUUAUAAACGGGUGCAAUUGCAUCUUGGGUUUAAAUCCGUUGCAUCCAAUCUAUAUGGAUUUUGCAAUUAUAGCUUCUAAAUUUGCAGUUCUUGCAAAUGCAAUUGCAGCUAAUUUAAUUGGAAUUGUAUUUUAUUUGGCACGCUUUUACUUAUGCAAUUGCGAGCCUGCGAAGCUGCAAUUGCAAAUUAUGACAAAACGGUUGCUUCAGUACCUUGCAUGUUAAAUAGAAAAUUUUGUUCAAGCUCAGUACCAGCAAAGGCGAGGGUUUGGAUUUGUGCUUUGCCGCCGGUGAGGUCUGGUUGGCUGUCUCGUGAGUUGCUCAUGAGUUUCUGCUCUGUGUCCCCUGUCAAUUGGCUGUACUAAUAGCUAACUGGAGCUGUUUUCGUUGCUUAUUUUGCUUCCUGGCCUCUUCGUGUUGGAUUUGGCGAGCCGAAGGUAGUAGAGGGUUCUGAGGUGGGACGGGUCAUUUUGCAUUUGUGCUCAUUGGCACCGGAGUUUGCUCGCUCCCUUCUGAUGAAUGUGUGCCCCCUCUCGUGUUGUGGUUAGUUUUGUUUGCUCGAGAUUUUGCCGCUGAAUUUUGUUGAUUUUGAUGUGGCUAGGCAAUCAGGAAGGGUAAGGCCAUCUCUAUCUGCUUUGUGCGGGGUCAGUGAGCUUCUCUCUGUUUGUUGCCCUGUCCAGAGUUUGACUGGCCAUUUUUGCUUCUUGGGAGUCUCCUUUGCAGCUGAAGAACAAGGGCAGGGGAGGGGGGGGAGGAUUUGUGGGGGGCACACCUUGAUGACUGGAGUUCCAGAAGAGAGAAGACCAACUAGACCUUUUGUCAUGCCACAUCAAUUGGUCAGGUCGCCGGCUGCUGCUGUUCAUUGGGCAGUCUGCAACGAUCUCUAGACUAGAAAAGGAGAAGGCCUUUUUAGGAAAAGGCAACUGGAGGCAGUCUGGAGCAAAGGAUGACCAUCCAAGCAUCACAAAAGGUGAUCAGGUUUGUAAGUAUUAAAAGUGCUACAGGAUUAACCUGUUAAUACUCUAAUCGAAUAACCUCAAAUGAGCUACUCUUUAAAAAUUCUUGCUUCAUACCAUGUAUGGAAAUCAAUCCACAGCAGGAGAGCCUUUUGAAUUUGUGUUACAUCAACAAAAAGGUAUAUGACACAAUAUAUGGCUGUUCCCUGGUCUUGCAUUAAUCUAAUGCUAGGUGCCUAUCUAUCCAUCAAAUAUAACUCUGGUCAUAAAAGGAUAGAAAUUUGCACAUAUAAAAGACAUGCCACAAGCUCGAAGUAAUUUAUUUAUUUUGACUUAAACCUGCUCGAAGUAAUUUUGCAACAGAAAAAAAUGACCUUUCCUAUCAAUUAACUUUACCUAGAGGUUUUUCUAAUAUGUGGGUUGCAAGACUUGCAUGCUAGCUAUCAUUCUCCACCAAUUUAAAUUGUGACUGUUUUGUGGCAGAUUUUUUAAUUCGGAUGGACAAGUGAUGCCACAUAUAUACAUGACAUUUCAUAUAUUCACUCCCUUUUUCAUCCCUGGGUUAUGAACUUGCACAUUCUGUGAAAUUAAAUAUUUGGUACAUAGGAACAAACAGCCACAUUGAUUACUUCAUAGAACUGUUAAGAAUAGUCUUUGUUUGCAUGUUGUUCAUAUGUAAGUAUUGAUUCACACAUUUUCUAUACGGAAACAAGAAUAUAAGUGAUUUAGUAGCUUUCGUUUUUUUAUGGCAAAGGAAACGGAUAGAAGGGUUGCGCCUUUCUGGAUAGAAUAUGGCACAACACAUCUGAUUUAUCAAGAGGUACACUACAUUGGUUUUGCAAAUUCUAUGUGUACAGUAAAUUCAGUAAGGUAAAUUUACUGUUUUGAAACCUACUUUUGCAAGUGUCUCUUAUUGACUGAUCCAGUGUCAUAUACCAUGUGGCUGAUUUACAGAUUACACUAUGUUCCUUAUUAAACUGAUCAAUCUUAUGAAGUAGAUAGGUUCAAAUGUUGUACUCCCUCCGUCCAACAAAAGAUGUCUCAAGUUUGUUAAAAUUUGGAUGUAUCUAGACAUGACUUAGUGUAUAGAUGCAUUCAAAUUUAGUCAAAGUUGAGACACCCUUUGUUGGACGGAGGGAGUAUCAUUACUUUCAGGCCACAACACAAUUUUUGUUUUCGGUUAUCUAUAUAUCUAUAAGUGAUCCUACUAUGAUUUAGUUAGUGUAAACUAAAUUGAAAGAAAUUUUGUUUGAAUCCUUUGUUUCAGAACAUUAUAUAAGUAAAGGCGAAUUAGUACUCAUUACGAAGGUGAUGACUCCUCUCUCCUGCCAUGACAACAAAUUUUAGCUAUGAUUUAGAAAACUGUGUGGCAACGGUACUCUUGCAGUCCUUCUAUGUUGAAUUGCACCACUGGAAAAUAUCUAGCAUUAGCCAUUUUUAGUUUGUAAUUCAACUUCAUAUGUACAUAUGAAACUGAAGUAAAGACAAGAUUUGGUUUGAACGAAGCACAACUCAUUUAUGGAUAAACACUACGCAAUAUAAUUUAAAGAUGUAGUUUUAGUAUA